GUGUCAGCCGCCGCGGUAAUACGUAGGCAGCAAACGUUGUUCGGAAUUACUGGGCGUAAAGAGUGUGUAGGCGGCUUUGUUAGUCUGGUGUGAAAUCUCCCGGCUUAACUGGGAGGGUGCGCUAGAAACUGCAGAGCUAGAGUAUCGGAGAGGAAAGCGGAAUUCCUGGUGUAGCGGUGAAAUGCGUAGAUAUCAGGAGGAACACCGGUGGUGUAGACGGCUUUCUGGACGAUCACUGACGCUGAGACACGAAAGCGUGGGGAGCAAACAGGAUUAGAAACCCCUGUAGUCC
rnacentral:rRNA from 1 species